UGCAGUUCUGGAAUCCAGCAAGCCACAGUCCUCUGUGUCCAGCUUCACAGCCUGUGGGUUUGAGAUGCCCACUGGUGGCCCAGGGGCCCUUCCACCAGAAACCCCAGACUGUGGCAACUGUCCAAGCUGAGGCGCAUUGCUGCUCACACUGGUAAACAGGAAGACAAUCAGACCCCAGCCUCCACUGGAGACCUCUAUCCUCCAGGAAGCGGCGCCAACACGUGGGCAGCAUAACACGGAACUUCAACCUAACAGAGCCCCGCACACGAGGGGCCCAACAGACAGCAGGAUAGGCACCCUACAUCACCCAUCCUGAGGACCCCAAGGCCACACAAAAAUCCCCACCUGGACCAUAACCCUCCCUCCUCUCUCACAAGGACCGCACUCUGAGUGUUACUUGCUAAAUUCUGCCUAAUAAACGUUUCUGUGCCUCU